AUCCGGCAUACGAGUCCCAAAUAAGAUGAAACGUGCGUUCUGGAU
rnacentral:hammerhead_ribozyme from 1 species